rnacentral:rRNA from 1 species
AACGUAGGAGACAAACGUUAUCCGGAGUUACUGGGCGUAAAGGGCGUGCAGGUGGUCUGUUAAGUCUGGCGUGAAAGCUCCUGGCUAAACCGGGAGAGGUCGUUGGAUACUGGCGGACUAGAGGACGGUAGAGGCGUGUGGAAUUCCGGGUGUAGUGGUGAAAUGCGUAGAGAUCAGGAGGAACACCGGUGGCGAAGGCGGGUCUCUGGGCCGAUACUGACGCUGAGGAGCGAAAGCGUGGGGAGCAAACAGG